GACGGAGGGUGCAAGCGUUGUCCGGAAUUACUGGGCGUAAAGCGCGCGUAGGCGGCUUGGCAAGUCGGGUGUGAAAGCCCUGGGCUCAACCCAGGAAGUGCACUCGAAACUGCCUCGCUGGAGUGUGGGAGAGGAAAGCGGAAUUCUCGGUGUAGCGGUGAAAUUCGUAGAUAUCGGGAGGAACACCGGUGGCGAAGGCGGCUCUCUGGACAGUUACUGACGCUGAGGCGCGAAAGCGUGGGGAGCAAACAGG
rnacentral:rRNA from 1 species